UACGUAGGGGGCAAGCGUUGUCCGGAUUUACUGGGCGUAAAGAGCGUGUAGGCGGCCAAACAGGUCCGUUGUGAAAACUGGAGGCUUAACCUCCAGACGUCGACGGAAACCGUAUGGCUAGAGUCCGGAAGAGGAGAGUGGAAUUCCUGGUGUGGCGGUGAAAUGCGCAGAUAUCAGGAAGAACACCAAUGGCGAAGGCAGCUCUCUGGGACGGUACUGACGCUGAGACGCGAAAGCGUGGGGAGCGAACAGG
rnacentral:rRNA from 1 species